AACGGAGGGGGCAAGCGUUAUCCGGAAUCACUGGGUUUAAAGGGUGCGGAGGCGGCUUGGUAAGUCAGAGGUGAAAGCCCGCAGCUUAACUGCGGAACUGCCUUUGAUACUGCCGAGCUUGAAAGAGGUUGAGGUCAGCGGAACGUGACAUGUAGCGGUGAAAUGCAUAGAGAUGUCACAGAACACCAAUUGCGAAGGCAGCUGGCUGAGCCUACUUUGACGUUGAGGCACGAAAGCGUGGGGAGCGAACAGG
rnacentral:rRNA from 1 species